rnacentral:rRNA from 1 species
UACGAAGGGGGCUAGCGUUGCUCGGAAUUACUGGGCGUAAAGCGCACGUAGGCGGCUCUUUAAGUCGGGGGUGAAAUCCUGGAGCUCAACUCCAGAACUGCCUUCGAUACUGAAGAGCUUGAGUCCGGGAGAGGUGAGUGGAACUGCGAGUGUAGAGGUGAAAUUCGUAGAUAUUCGCAAGAACACCAGUGGCGAAGGCGGCUCACUGGCCCGGUACUGACGCUGAGGCGCGAAAGCCAGGGGAGCAAACGGG